AUAUUGUGUUUGUCAGUGCUGUAUAAUA
rnacentral:sRNA from 1 species